rnacentral:sRNA from 1 species
UAUUUCUCAAGCCAAAUUUCAAUUAUUUUCUUUUUAUGCUUUCAAUAAUUAUAACGGUCGAGCUAGUGUGGCCGACGAGGGCAGAGUCUCUUGAAGGUAGAGAACUGCACGGCUAGUGACGUCAGUCCCAGCACUCCCAGAAUACAGUUCAUAACAAAUGGAUGUCUAGUAAUGAAAUACAAAAGUAUCUACCUCACCAGCAGACGACCAGACAGCACAUCGUUUGAGAUUUCUCUGAAGGCGUUUAGGUUUAAUGGCAAUAAUAAUAUUGUAAUUUUCACCUGCGCCA